GGGGGGACUGCGGAGGGAUCAUUACUGAGUUUACGCUCUACAACCCUUUGUGAACAUACCUAUAACUGUUGCUUCGGCGGGCAGGGUCUCCGUGACCCUCCCGGCCUCCCGCCCCCGGGCGGGUCGGCGCCCGCCGGAGGAUAACCAAACUCUGAUUUAACGACGUUUCUUCUGAGUGGUACAAGCAAAUAAUCAAAACUUUUAACAACGGAUCUCUUGGUUCUGGCAUCGAUGAAGAACGCAGCGAAAUGCGAUAAGUAAUGUGAAUUGCAGAAUUCAGUGAAUCAUCGAAUCUUUGAACGCACAUUGCGCCCGCCAGCAUUCUGGCGGGCAUGCCUGUUCGAGCGUCAUUUCAACCCUCAAGCUCUGCUUGGUGUUGGGGCCCUACAGCUGAUGUAGGCCCUCAAAGGUAGUGGCGGACCCUCCCGGAGCCUCCUUUGCGUAGUAACUUUACGUCUCGCACUGGGAUCCGGAGGGACUCUUGCCGUAAAACCCCCAAUUUUCCAAAGGUUGACCUCGGAUCAGGUAGGAAUACCCGCUGAACUUAAGCAU
rnacentral:rRNA from 1 species